UCGAACGGUAACAGAAAGCAGCUUGCUGCUUUGCUGACGAGUGGCGGACGGGUGAGUAAUGUCUGGGAAACUGCCUGAUGGAGGGGGAUAACUACUGGAAACGGUAGCUAAUACCGCAUAACGUCGCAAGACCAAAGAGGGGGACCUUAGGGCCUCUUGCCAUCGGAUGUGCCCAGAUGGGAUUAGCUAGUAGGUGGGGUAACGGCUCACCUAGGCGACGAUCCCUAGCUGGUCUGAGAGGAUGACCAGCCACACUGGAACUGAGACACGGUCCAGACUCCUACGGGAGGCAGCAGUGGGGAAUAUUGCACAAUGGGCGCAAGCCUGAUGCAGCCAUGCCGCGUGUAUGAAGAAGGCCUUCGGGUUGUAAAGUACUUUCAGCGGGGAGGAAGGGAGUAAAGUUAAUACCUUUGCUCAUUGACGUUACCCGCAGAAGAAGCACCGGCUAACUCCGUGCCAGCAGCCGCGGUAAUACGGAGGGUGCAAGCGUUAAUCGGAAUUACUGGGCGUAAAGCGCACGCAGGCGGUUUGUUAAGUCAGAUGUGAAAUCCCCGGGCUCAACCUGGGAACUGCAUCUGAUACUGGCAGGCUUGAGUCUCGUAGAGGGGGGUAGAAUUCCAGGUGUAGCGGUGAAAUGCGUAGAGAUCUGGAGGAAUACCGGUGGCGAAGGCGGCCCCCUGGACGAAGACUGACGCUCAGGUGCGAAAGCGUGGGGAGCAAACAGG
rnacentral:rRNA from 1 species